CACGUAGGGUGCGAGCGUUUGCCGGAAUUAUUGGGCGUAAAGAGCUCGUAGGCGGUGUGUCGCGUCGGCCGUGAAAACUUGGGGCUUAACUCUGAGCGUGCGGUCGAUACGGGCAUCACUUGAGUUCGGCAGGGGAGACUGGAAUUCCUGGUGUAGCGGUGAAAUGCGCAGAUAUCAGGAGGAACACCGAUGGCGAAGGCAGGUCUCUGGGCAUUAACUGACGCUGAGGAGCGAAAGCAUGGGGAGCGAACAGG
rnacentral:rRNA from 1 species